AGAACGAACGCUGGCGGCAUGCCUAAUACAUGCAAGUCGAACGAACACUUCGGUGUUAGUGGCGCACGGGUGCGUAACGCGUGGGAAUCUGCCCUUGGGUUCGGAAUAACAGUUGGAAACGACUGCUAAUACCGGAUGAUAUCGAAAGAUCAAAGAUUUAUCGCCCAGGGAUGAGCCCGCGUAGGAUUAGCUAGUUGGUGAGGUAAAGGCUCACCAAGGCGACGAUCCUUAGCUGGUCUGAGAGGAUGAUCAGCCACACUGGGACUGAGACACGGCCCAGACUCCACGGGAGCAGCAGUGGGGAAUUUGGACAA
rnacentral:rRNA from 1 species